CAAGUGGGUGAUCUGCCCUGCACUUCGGGAUAAGCCUGGGAAACUGGGUCUAAUACCGGAUAUGACCUCCUAUCGCAUGGUGGGUGGUGGAAAGAUUUAUCGGUGCAGGAUGGGCCCGCGGCCUAUCAGCUUGUUGGUGGGGUAAUGGCCUACCAAGGCGACGACGGGUAGCCGACCUGAGAGGGUGACCGGCCACACUGGGACUGAGACACGGCCCAGACUCCUACGGGAGGCAGCAGUGGGGAAUAUUGCACAAUGGGCGAAAGCCUGAUGCAGCGACGCCGCGUGAGGGAUGACGGCCUUCGGGUUGUAAACCUCUUUCAGCAGGGACGAAGCGCAAGUGACGGUACCUGCAGAAGAAGCACCGGCUAACUACGUG
rnacentral:rRNA from 1 species